rnacentral:rRNA from 1 species
UGCUCAGGACGAACGCUGGCGGCGUGCCUAAUACAUGCAAGUCGAGCGGACAGAUGGGAGCUUGCUCCCUGAUGUUAGCGGCGGACGGGUGAGUAACACGUGGGUAACCUGCCUGUAAGACUGGGAUAACUCCGGGAAACCGGGGCUAAUACCGGAUGGUUGUUUGAACCGCAUGGUUCAGACAUAAAAGGUGGCUUCGGCUACCACUUACAGAUGGACCCGCGGCGCAUUAGCUAGUUGGUGAGGUAACGGCUCACCAAGGCGACGAUGCGUAGCCGACCUGAGAGGGUGAUCGGCCACACUGGGACUGAGACACGGCCCAGACUCCUACGGGAGGCAGCAGUAGGGAAUCUUCCGCAAUGGACGAAAGUCUGACGGAGCAACGCCGCGUGAGUGAUGAAGGUUUUCGGAUCGUAAAGCUCUGUUGUUAGGGAAGAACAAGUGCCGUUCAAAUAGGGCGGCACCUUGACGGUACCUAACCAGAAAGCCACGGCUAACUACGUGCCAGCAGCCGCGGUAAUACGUAGGUGGCAAGCGUUGUCCGGAAUUAUUGGGCGUAAAGGGCUCGCAGGCGGUUUCUUAAGUCUGAUGUGAAAGCCCCCGGCUCAACCGGGGAGGGUCAUUGGAAACUGGGGAACUUGAGUGCAGAAGAGGAGAGUGGAAUUCCACGUGUAGCGGUGAAAUGCGUAGAGAUGUGGAGGAACACCAGUGGCGAAGGCGACUCUCUGGUCUGUAACUGACGCUGAGGAGCGAAAGCGUGGGGAGCGAACAGGAUUAGAUACCCUGGUAGUCCACGCCGUAAACGAUGAGUGCUAAGUGUUAGGGGGUUUCCGCCCCUUAGUGCUGCAGCUAACGCAUUAAGCACUCCGCCUGGGGAGUACGGUCGCAAGACUGAAACUCAAAGGAAUUGACGGGGGCCCGCACAAGCGGUGGAGCAUGUGGUUUAAUUCGAAGCAACGCGAAGAACCUUACCAGGUCUUGACAUCCUCUGACAAUCCUAGAGAUAGGACGUCCCCUUCGGGGGCAGAGUGACAGGUGGUGCAUGGUUGUCGUCAGCUCGUGUCGUGAGAUGUUGGGUUAAGUCCCGCAACGAGCGCAACCCUUGAUCUUAGUUGCCAGCAUUCAGUUGGGCACUCUAAGGUGACUGCCGGUGACAAACCGGAGGAAGGUGGGGGAUGACGUCAAAUCAUCAUGCCCCUUAUGACCUGGGCUACACACGUGCUACAAUGGGCAGAACAAAGGGCAGCGAAACCGCGAGGUUAAGCCAAUCCCACAAAUCUGUUCUCAGUUCGGAUCGCAGUCUGCAACUCGACUGCGUGAAGCUGGAAUCGCUAGUAAUCGCGGAUCAGCAUGCCGCGG